UAGGAGCCUGUGGUGCCAUUAUCAUGA
rnacentral:piRNA from 1 species